AUACACGCUGGCGGCGUGCAUGAGACCUGCAAGUCGAACGCAGGAUCGGGCUUGCUCGAUCCUUAGUGGCGGACGGCUGAGUAACGCGUAGGUGACCUACCCCGAAGUGGGGAAUAACUGCCCGAAAGGGUGGCUAAUACCGCAUGUGGUCGCACGUUCAUUCGUGCGAGUAAAGCCGCAAGGCGCUUCGGGAGGGGCCUGCGUCCGAUUAGCUCGUUGGUGGGGUAAUGGCUUACCAAGGCGACGAUCGGUAGGUGGUCUGAGAGGACGAUCACCCAGACUGGGACUGAGACACGGCCCAGACUCCUACGGGAGGCAGCAGUCGGGAAUUUUGCUCAAUGGGGGAAACCCUGAAGCAGCAACGCCGCGUGAGGGAUGAAGGCCUUCGGGUUGUAAACCUCUUUUGUCAGGGACGAUGAUGACGGUACCUGGCGAAUAAGCCACGGCUAACUACGUG
rnacentral:rRNA from 1 species